rnacentral:misc_RNA from 1 species
UUUCCGUAGGUGAACCUGCCGAAGGAUCAUUACAGCGUUCUUGGCCGAAAGGUUUUACCUCCCACCCUCGUGUAUUAUUACUUUGUUGCUUUGGCGAGCGCAAGCACGCCAGAGCAGAUAAAAACUUUUCAUAAUACUGUCGAAUGAGUAGUAUGUAAUAGUUAAAAGUAUCAACAACGGAUCUCUUGGCCCUGGCAGCGAUGAAGAACGCAACAGAACGGCAGAGGACACAACUGAGCUCCAGCCAUGCAUAGUCAUUACCUGAGCUGACGUAUGCUU